AUUGAACGCUGCGGCAGGCUUAACACAUGCAAGUCGAGCGAGCGGCGGACGGGUGAGUAAUGCUUAGGAAUCUGCCUAUUAGUGGGGGACAACAUCUCGAAAGGGAUGCUAAUACCGCAUACUAAUAGCUGAGCCUAAGUCGGAUUAGCUAGUAGGUGGGGGAACGGCUCACCUAGGCGACGAUCCCUAGCUGGUCUGAGAGGAUGACCAGCCACACUGGAACGAGAGCACGGUCCGGACUCCUACGGUGGGCAGCAGUGGGGAAUAUUGCACAAGGGGGGCAAGCCUGAUGCGGCCAUGCCGCUUGUGUGAAGCGGGCCUUCGGGUUUUAAAGCACUGUCGGCGGUGAGGCGUUACCCGCAGAAGAAGCACCGGCUAACUCCGUGCCAGCCGCCGCGGUAAUUC
rnacentral:rRNA from 1 species